rnacentral:lncRNA from 1 species
GUCCCCGGCGUCCGGGCGCCCUGCAUGGAUCCCCCACCCCAGCUCCUGCUCCCCGGCGGCGGCCGGUGGGCAGAAAGACCGAAACCCACUCACGGCCGCCUGCCGAAUCGCGGCUCUGCUGUUUGUGGGGCGUGCUAGAAACGUGGUCCUAAAAAGAAUGGCGUCCAUUUACAUAAUGCUUUGUUUGCGUUUCGCAAGUUUCUUUCGGUUAAAGCCACAGAAACCCCACCUCCUGCCCUUGUGUCGUUUCCACCGCGGCACCCUUUUCCGACAUUAGAAACAAUAGUGUACGCCUGUGGAGGCCUCGUUUGUUCAGGGGCUGCCGGCCAGGGCUUCAGGACGUUUCUGCGGCUUUCCCCGCGCGGCCUGGGCUCCCGCGGCUGCUUUUCGGGCCCAUGGGCGCAGCCACUGCGCCAGGCUCAAGGGGGGCGGCCCCGUCAGGGCCCGCCAUCUUGGAAGGCCUUUUUUGCCGGUUCUUCCCGCUGAGGAAGUGUCGCUCAAGACGCUGGCCUAUGAGUUGUGAUUUCUGCCUUUUCCCCUUCCUCCUUGGGCUAAGCCAGACCAGAAAGGGCCCCGUGCGCAACGUGCUUCACAAUCUCUCAGGGAAAGCGGCUAACGUGGCGCUACUCCGCCUCCCCUGUUCCUUACCCUUGGGGCGGCCGCCAUGUUUCCUGAACACAAAAUGGCGACACGUGGUUAGCAUUCGUCGCCAACGAGAAAUUGGGGUCGGCCCGAAAGCUCUAGAAUGCACCCCUCUUCCUCCCCGGGGCCUUCCACCUCCGCGAGUUUUAUGACUUAAAAAAGCCCACAGGCUGGUCUGAAGGUCGGAGGCCUAAUUUUAACGCGUUUUCCUCCCUUUAAUUUGAAACGGGAACGCGAAUGACUGUAAAAUGUGGGCACAAUAUUUAAUCUCUCGCCUUUUUAAAGCUUAAUAGUGGAUAAUAGGGGGGCAGUAUCAAGGGAUAAUUUGGGUCCCCACAGUACCAAAGCAUUUAGAAACCUCUGUUUAAUUUAAGGAAUGAGAUAAGUUACUGCUUUUCUAGACUUCCUAGCAUGGGCUGUUGUGCUGGAGAGAACGAGAGCUACGAAGAGACUACAGUGCCUCUGACUUUUUCAUAGGACAGUUGGCCGGUGAAUCUUAUUAAUAGUUUACCACAAUUAAGUGUUCAUUUUUAGUCUAGAAGGGACAGGCGUUUAUUGUGCAUUGGCCAGUGCCAGCACAUCCGAUGCAAGGCAGUUCACCGUAUUCUAUCUUUAAUUUUUACCAUGGUCCUCUGAGGUAGGUGUUCUUAUCUCUCUCUCUCUCUCUCUCUUUUAAACAGAGGAAGACAAACAUAAAGAUGAAGUGCUUAAUUCAAGGUCACACAAUGUCGGGGAUGGACCUCCAGAUUUCCUUACUGGAAAACAAGCUCAGGGCUCCCACUGAUUGUACAUUAUGAGACGGAGUCUUGCUAUGUUGCCCAGGCUGGUCUUGAACUCCUCACCUCAAGCGAUCCUCCCGUCUUGGCCUCCCAAGUGUCAGGAUUACGGGCAUGUGCUAUCACACCCAACCUGAUACAUUGCCUUUAUAAAUUUUUUUUUCUUUAUUCUAAAAACCAGAAAAAACAAAACUGGAUACAUGUGCAGAACAUGCAGGUGAGACGUGGUCUUGUAACACAGUGGUUAAGAAUGUGACUUUGGAGCCAGCCUGCUAGGGGCUGAAUUCUGACUCAGCCAUUUACUAACUGUGUGACCUUAGGCUGGAGUGCAAUGGCAUGAUCUCGGCUCAUCACAACCUCUGCUUCCUGGGUUCAAGCGAUUCUCCUGCCUCAGCCUCCCGAGUACCUGGGACUACAGGCACUCGCCACCAUGCCCGGCUGAUUUUUGUAUUUUUAAUAGAGAUGGUUUCACUAUGUUGGCCAGGCUGGUCUCGAACUCCUGACCUUGUGAUCUGCCCACCUCAGCCUCGAAAAGUGCUGGGAUUACAGGCGUGAGCCACUGCGCCCAGCCUUGUAUUUUUUUUCAGUUUGGGUAGCUGUCCCUAAUUCAUUUGUUAAAGGAGAAGCAAGAGCAAGAACCUUUAAUCUGUUCUCCUCUUCCCUAAUUUGAAAGUAGCUUGUUAUUUUGAAUAUCACUUUCUCUGAAAUAGCACAUCUCCAUCUCAGAGAAUGGAUUUAAUGUUUGGAUACAGCCAAAAGUCAUUUCAUUACCAAACCAUGGGGUGAAUAUACCAUGUAAAGCAGUUUGGGAUCAGAACUCACAGUCUGAAUUGUAAGUGAUGAGACUGCUGUCUCUCUGCUACAGCUUCUUGGCUGGCUCUGAAGGCUCUUUGAAGGCAGAUCCUAACAAGGGGACUGCUUUGAAGGGCCAUUGUUCAUUUGGAAUGAUAAAGUCUAUGUUGUUCAAAAAACAAAUGCUUGUAGCAGGUAUUUUUUCACUCCAGACUGAGAAUAUUGGUGGGAUAUUGAUAAGGGGUACUGAAUGGUAAUAAACAUGUGCUCUAGCUCUGUGCUAGUCAGCUUAUUUCAGAACUCUAGUUUGAUUCAGUUUCUUGCCUCUGACUCAAAAUGGAGGGAGAGUGAUUUUUACAUAAGAGAACACACCCACAUAUCCUUUUGGCAGCAGCUACCUGCCAGAGAUGUUGAAGAAGAGUAGCCAACCUUUACACAGCAGAUAUUGUGUGCCAGUCAUAGUCCUAAGUAUAAUACCUUACAUGUAUAAACUUCUUAUAAGGUUGGUGCUCUGUACCGAAUUGAAUAGUAUCCCCCAAAAUUCAUGUUGUCCCAGAACCUAUGAAAGUGAUCUUACUUGAGGGAGGGGGGAGGGGGGAGGGAUAGCAUUAGGAGAUAUACCUAAUGCUAAAUGACGAGUUAAUGGGUGUAGCACACCAGCAUGGCACAUGUAUACAUAUGUAACUAACCUGCACAUUGUGCACAUGUACCCUAAAACUUAAAGUAUAAUAAUAAUAAAAUAAAAAAAAAAAAGAAAGUGAUCUUACUUGGAAAUAAGGUCUUUGCACAUAUGAUCAAGUUGAGAUGAAGUUGUACUGGAAAGUCUGUCUAGUGACUGGUGUUGUCAUAAGAAGAGAGGGACACAGAGGGAAGAUGGCCACAUGAAGAUGGAGGCAGAGAUUGCAGUUAUGCUGCUGCAAACUAAGGAAUGGCUCUGGCCCUCCAAGGAUUGCUGAUAACCACCAGAAACUAGAAGAGACAAGGAAGGAUUCUUCCCUAGAGCCUUCAGAGGGAGCAUGGCCCUACUGACACCUGGAUUUCAAACUUGUAGCUUCCUAAACUGCAAGAGAAUAAAUUUCUGUUGUUUUAAGCCA